GGGAUGCGUUCCAUUAGGCAGUUGGUGGGGUAACGGCCCACCAAACCUUCGAUGGAUAGGGGUUCUGAGAGGAAGGUCCCCCACAUUGGAACUGAGACACGGUCCAAACUCCUACGGGAGGCAGCAGUGAGGAAUAUUGGUCAAUGGACGAGAGUCUGAACCAGCCAAGUAGCGUGAAGGAUGACUGCCCUAUGGGUUGUAAACUUCUUUUAUAUGGGAAUAAAGUGGUCCACGUGUGGAUUUUUGUAUGUACCAUAUGAAUAAGGAUCGGCUAACUCCGUGCCAGCAGCCGCGGUAAUACGGAGGAUCCGAGCGUUAUCCGGAUUUAUUGGGUUUAAAGGGAGCGUAGGUGGACAGUUAAGUCAGUUGUGAAAGUUUGCGGCUCAACCGUAAAAUUGCAGUUGAUACUGGCUGUCUUGAGUACAGUAGAGGUGGGCGGAAUUCGUGGUGUAGCGGUGAAAUGCUUAGAUAUCACGAAGAACUCCGAUUGCGAAGGCAGCUCACUGGACUGCAACUGACACUGAUGCUCGAAAGUGUGGGUAUCAAACAGGAUUAGAUACCCUGGUAGUCCACACAGUAAACGAUGAAUACUCGCUGUUUGCGAUAUACAGUAAGCGGCCAAGCGAAAGCAUUAAGUAUUCCACCUGGGGAGUACGCCGGCAACGGUGAAACUCAAAGGAAUUGACGGGGGCCCGCACAAGCGGAGGAACAUGUGGUUUAAUUCGAUGAUACGCGAGGAACCUUACCCGGGCUUAAAUUGCAUUUGAAUAAUCAAGAAAUUGGUUAGUCGUAAGACAAAUGUGAAGGUGCUGCAUGGUUGUCGUCAGCUCGUGCCGUGAGGUGUCGGCUUAAGUGCCAUAACGAGCGCAACCCUUAUCUUCAGUUACUAACAGGUCAUGCUGAGGACUCUGGAGAGACUGCCGUCGUAAGAUGUGAGGAAGGUGGGGAUGACGUCAAAUCAGCACGGCCCUUACGUCCGGGGCUACACACGUGUUACAAUGGGGGGUACAGAAGGCCGCUACCUGGUGACAGGAUGCUAAUCCCAA
rnacentral:rRNA from 1 species